AUUGCUUCCCGGCCUUUUGGCUAAGAUCAAGCGUAGUAUCUGUUCUUAUCAGAAUUGCCCGAAACCUAACGAAGUUUCCCCAUAUUUUGUGCUGUCUUAAGAAUAUACCAACUGUAAUAGACUUUUUGCUGACUAAAAGUUAUAACCAUAAAAAUUUGUUUUUGUACUCUGUGGGAGUUCUU